rnacentral:rRNA from 1 species
GAUGAACGCUGGCGGCGUGCCUAAUACAUGCAAGUCGAGCGAACAGAUAAGAAGCUUGCACCUUUGACGUUAGCGGCGGACGGGUGAGUAACACGUGGGUAACCUACCUAUAAGACUGGAAUAACUCCGGGAAACCGGGGCUAAUGCCGGAUAACAUGUUGAACCGCAUGGUUCUACAGUGAAAGGCGGCUUUGCUGUCACUUAUAGAUGGACCCGCGCCGUAUUAGCUAGUUGGUGAGGUAACGGCUCACCAAGGCAACGAUACGUAGCCGACCUGAGAGGGUGAUCGGCCACACUGGAACUGAGACACGGUCCAGACUCCUACGGGAGGCAGCAGUAGGGAAUCUUCCGCAAUGGGCGAAAGCCUGACGGAGCAACGCCGCGUGAGUGAUGAAGGUCUUCGGAUCGUAAAACUCUGUUAUUAGGGAAGAACAAAUGCGUAAGUAACUGUGCGCGUCUUGACGGUACCUAAUCAGAAAGCCACGGCUAACUACGUG